rnacentral:rRNA from 1 species
CCUACGGGUGGCAGCAGUGGGGAAUAUUGCACAAUGGGGGAAACCCUGAUGCAGCGACGCCGCGUGAGUGAAGAAGUAACUCGUUAUGUAAAGCUCUAUCAGCAGGGAAGAAAAUGACGGUACCUGAGUAAGAAGCCCCGGCUAACUACGUGCCAGCAGCCGCGGGAAGACGGAGGGGGCAAGCGUGAUCCGGAUUUACUGGGUGUAAAGGGAGCGUAGGCGGCAGUGCAAGUCUGGAGUGAAUGGCGGGGGCUCAACCCCCGGACUGCUCUGGAAACUGUACGGCUGGAGUGCAGGAGAGGUAAGUGGAAUUCCAGGUGUAGCAGUGAAAUGCGUAGAUAUUAGGAGGAACACCAGUGGCGAAGGCGGCUUACUGGACUGUAACUGACGUUGAGGCUCGAAAGCGUGGGGAGCGAACAGGAUUAGAUACCCGGGUAGUC